rnacentral:snoRNA from 2 species
UCCUAUGAUGGCAUGAAAUCUUUGAGACCUGAAUCUUUAAUUUGAUGUCAGCUAUAAGCAUACUCACUGAGGAU